rnacentral:rRNA from 1 species
UACGGGGGGUGCGAGCGUUGUCCGGAAUCACUGGGCGUAAAGGGCGCGUAGGUGGUUUGAUAAGGGUGUGGUGAAAGCCCGGGGCUCAACCCCGGGUCUGCCGUGCCGACUGUCAAACUCGAGGGCUGUAGAGGCAGACGGAAUUCCGGGUGUAGCGGUGGAAUGGCGUAGAGAUCCGGAGGAAGACCGGUGGCGAAGGCGGUCUGCUGGGCAGUUUCUGACACUGGAUGCGCGACAGCGUGGGGAGCAACAGG